rnacentral:rRNA from 1 species
AGCAGCCGCGGUAAUUCCAGCUCCAAUAGCGUAUAUUAAAGUUGUUGCAGUUAAAAAGCUCGUAGUUGAAUUUCGGGGUUCUACCGUUGGUCGGGCUAACCAGUCUGUACUAGCGUGUAAAAUUCCUACCUUCUGGAAAACCAUCAUGUUAUUAAUUUAGCGUGGUGGGAAACCAGGACCUUUACCUUGAAAAAAUUAGAGUGUUCAAAGCAGGCUUACGUCUGAAUACAUUAGCAUGGAAUAAUAGAAUAGGACGGUGGUCCUGUUUUGUUGGUUUCUGAAUCACCGUAAUGAUUAAUAGGGAUAGUUGGGGGCAUUAGUAUUCAAUUGUCAGAGGUGAAAUUCUUGGAUUUAUUGAAGACUAACUUCUGCGAAAGCAUUUGCCAAGGAUGUUUUCAUUAAUCAAGAACGAAAGUUAGGGGAUCGAAGACGAUCAGAUACCGUCGUAGUCUUAACCAUAAACUAUGCCGACUAGGGAUCGGACGAUGUUAAAUUUUAUUGACUCGUUCGGC